AAAGCCAGCCGGGAUUAUGUAGCGAGACCCCAUCUCAAAAAAUGGAACAAACAACAACAAACACAAAAAUCCAGAGCAAAUGGCACACAUAACUGAGGCAUUUCUGUGACGACAAGAAGCUGGAGACAACCGACAUCCUGAUCUCGAAAGAUGCCUUCAAGAACACAGGCAGAGGGGCCGGGGGUUGAGGGGAGCAAACCUGCCUCUCUUACAGGUGGACAGUACAAAGAUGUAGCAAUGCCCAGUACAAAAACCAGGAAAGGGACCUGUGACCUAUGCCCAGGAAAAAUAAAAAUGACUUCUGUUCACAGACGGAGACUGCACAGAGACACCGAGCGAUGAAGUUUGGUUUGUGGGGAGGCAGAUCAGGGACGGAUGGUUUCUUUUAUUUGGGUUCCUGGCCGCGGGAGAGGAAAUGUGUUUUAGGAAAAAACAGGAGAAUCCAUGCAGGUAGAAACGGCGAGUGCAGGUGAGGAGUAAGCAGUCAGGGUGCCCUGUCCAGCACCACUCAACCAGUAAGGGGUCUGCGGGGCAUACCGGUCUCCUGGGCCGCGCCGUGCGCAUGCGCACAUGUGUGCGCGUGGGGCGGCGGGGGGGCGGGUGGCAUAGGUCCAUGCGCGUGCGCACAUGCUCUUCUGCCGUGUGUGGCGAAGUGGCACUCUUUCUAAAGGGAGAGGGCUGUAGGAGGACCCAGGGUUGGUAGGAGGGGUUCGAGCAGGAGGAGAGCGGAGAUUGUUGGCUGGUCACCCCUUGACUGGGCCACCUACCGUACAGAGCUGUUCUCAGAAUGGACACUGGCUCUGCCAUCCCCCAGGGGUAUCUGCGGGGACCCUCUCCACUCAGAACAGGGAAGUGGCAGUAAUGGCAGUGGUAAGAGUGAUGACAGCUAGCAUUCGCCGCGGUCAGCUGAUGUGCAAGGACUGCCAUACGCCUUCCCCUGGGCAGCUUUUCUUCCCACCCCCGUAAGAUGGGGAGGAGUCCACCUUCCUCUAGGCCCGCAGGACGGGAGCAUGGGCAGCUGCCCUGGCCGCCACCAAGCGCCUGAAGGGCAAACCAAGGGUUGGAGAGGUAUCCAGCGACUGGUAGUGGCUGAACCAAAGCCUGAAUUCAAAUCUGUCUGACUUCAAGCUGAGCUCUUUGCAGGAAGCUACACAGAAAACUCAGAGGAUGACGGGAAACCAGGUUAGCCUCAAGGAGUGUCUAAAGCAGGACCUCGGCAGACGCAGGGUGGGAAAUAUACUACCAUGGGCUAUGCUGCCAGGGACUCCCAAGCAAAACAUCUGGAGGAAGCCGAAGUGAGUCAGGCAAGUGUCUGUGCAAAGGCUCUGUAACCCCAAGGAGGAAGAGGCUGAGAUCUGGCACGCAGAGAUGGGGGAUAAGGGUGGGGCCAGGCUGCGGAAGAAAGGGCCAGUGGGUGAUGGGGGUGGGGCAACCCAACCCCACAUGCUGACCCACCCGUUUGCUGAACUCUCAACAGAGCUGCACACCUUAAACAGUCAAGGAGUUGGAGGUGUGGGGAGAAAGACUGCAUUUGGUGCCUGGAAUCUGAAGUUCUGGUUUCUAACCCACGAGGAUGGUGGUAAUGAAGACAAGAGUGCUAGAAUGUUCCCUUCUGUUGCUGUGGAUUGUGGUUUUUAUCUCAUAUUCAUUUCUAUAAUUGGAUUAAAGCUUG